CACGUAGGGGACGAGCGUUGUCCGGAUUCAUUGGGCGUAAAGCGCGCGUAGGCGGCUCGGAAAGUCGGGCGUGAAAUGCCGGGGCUCAACUCCGGAACUGCACUUGAUACUGCCUUGCUAGAGUACUGGAGAGGAGACUGGAAUUUACGGUGUAGCAGUGAAAUGCGUAGAUAUCGUAAGGAAGACCAGUGGCGAAGGCGAGUCUCUGGACAGUUACUGACGCUGAGGCACGAAGGCCAGGGGAGCAAACGGG
rnacentral:rRNA from 1 species